GGUUAAGCGACUAAGCGUACACGGUGGAUGCCCUGGCAGUCAGAGGCGAUGAAGGACGUGCUAAUCUGCGAUAAGCGUCGGUGAGGUGAUAUGAACCGUUAUAACCGGCGAUUUCCGAAUGGGGAAACCCAGUGUGAUUCGUCACACUAUCAUUAACUGAAUCCAUAGGUUAAUGAGGCGAACCGGGGGAACUGAAACAUCUAAGUACCCCGAGGAAAAGAAAUCAACCGAGAUUCCCCCAGUAGCGGCGAGCGAACGGGGAGGAGCCCAGAGCCUGAAUCAGUGUGUGUGUUAGUGGAAGCGUCUGGAAAGGCGUGCGAUACAGGGUGACAGCCCCGUACACAAAAAUGCACAUAUUGUGAGCUCGAUGAGUAGGGCGGGACACGUGGUAUCCUGUCUGAAUAUGGGGGGACCAUCCUCCAAGGCUAAAUACUCCUGACUGACCGAUAGUGAACCAGUACCGUGAGGGAAAGGCGAAAAGAACCCCGGCGAGGGGAGUGAAAAAGAACCUGAAACCGUGUACGUACAAGCAGUGGGAGCCUCUUAAUGGGGUGACUGCGUACCUUUUGUAUAAUGGGUCAGCGACUUAUAUUCUGUAGCAAGGUUAACCGAAUAGGGGAGCCGAAGGGAAACCGAGUCUUAACUGGGCGUUAAGUUGCAGGGUAUAGACCCGAAACCCGGUGAUCUAGCCAUGGGCAGGUUGAAGGUUGGGUAACACUAACUGGAGGACCGAACCGACUAAUGUUGAAAAAUUAGCGGAUGACUUGUGGCUGGGGGUGAAAGGCCAAUCAAACCGGGAGAUAGCUGGUUCUCCCCGAAAGCUAUUUAGGUAGCGCCUCGUGAAUUCAUCUCCGGGGGUAGAGCACUGUUUCGGCAAGGGGGUCAUCCCGACUUACCAACCCGAUGCAAACUGCGAAUACCGGAGAAUGUUAUCACGGGAGACACACGGCGGGUGCUAACGUCCGUCGUGAAGAGGGAAACAACCCAGACCGCCAGCUAAGGUCCCAAAGUCAUGGUUAAGUGGGAAACGAUGUGGGAAGGCCCAGACAGCCAGGAUGUUGGCUUAGAAGCAGCCAUCAUUUAAAGAAAGCGUAAUAGCUCACUGGUCGAGUCGGCCUGCGCGGAAGAUGUAACGGGGCUAAACC
rnacentral:rRNA from 1 species